rnacentral:rRNA from 1 species
UUGAAGAGUUUGAUCAUGGCUCAGAUUGAACGCUGGCGGCAGGCCUAACACAUGCAAGUCGAGCGGUAGCACAGAGAGCUUGCUCUCGGGUGACGAGCGGCGGACGGGUGAGUAAUGUCUGGGAAACUGCCUGAUGGAGGGGGAUAACUACUGGAAACGGUAGCUAAUACCGCAUAAUGUCGCAAGACCAAAGUGGGGGACCUUCGGGCCUCAUGCCAUCAGAUGUGCCCAGAUGGGAUUAGCUUGUAGGUGGGGUAACGGCUCACCUAGGCGACGAUCCCUAGCUGGUCUGAGAGGAUGACCAGCCACACUGGAACUGAGACACGGUCCAGACUCCUACGGGAGGCAGCAGUGGGGAAUAUUGCACAAUGGGCGCAAGCCUGAUGCAGCCAUGCCGCGUGUGUGAAGAAGGCCUUCGGGUUGUAAAGCACUUUCAGCGGGGAGGAAGGCGGUGAGGUUAAUAACCUCAUCGAUUGACGUUACCCGCAGAAGAAGCACCGGCUAACUCCGUGCCAGCAGCCGCGGUAAUACGGAGGGUGCAAGCGUUAAUCGGAAUUACUGGGCGUAAAGCGCACGCAGGCGGUCUGUCAAGUCGGAUGUGAAAUCCCCGGGCUCAACCUGGGAACUGCAUUCGAAACUGGCAGGCUAGAGUCUUGUAGAGGGGGGUAGAAUUCCAGGUGUAGCGGUGAAAUGCGUAGAGAUCUGGAGGAAUACCGGUGGCGAAGGCGGCCCCCUGGACAAAGACUGACGCUCAGGUGCGAAAGCGUGGGGAGCAAACAGGAUUAGAUACCCUGGUAGUCCACGCCGUAAACGAUGUCGAUUUGGAGGUUGUGCCCUUGAGGCGUGGCUUCCGGAGCUAACGCGUUAAAUCGACCGCCUGGGGAGUACGGCCGCAAGGUUAAAACUCAAAUGAAUUGACGGGGGCCCGCACAAGCGGUGGAGCAUGUGGUUUAAUUCGAUGCAACGCGAAGAACCUUACCUGGUCUUGACAUCCACAGAACUUUCCAGAGAUGGAUUGGUGCCUUCGGGAACUGUGAGACAGGUGCUGCAUGGCUGUCGUCAGCUCGUGUUGUGAAAUGUUGGGUUAAGUCCCGCAACGAGCGCAACCCUUAUCCUUUGUUGCCAGCGGUCCGGCCGGGAACUCAAAGGAGACUGCCAGUGAUAAACUGGAGGAAGGUGGGGAUGACGUCAAGUCAUCAUGGCCCUUACGACCAGGGCUACACACGUGCUACAAUGGCAUAUACAAAGAGAAGCGACCUCGCGAGAGCAAGCGGACCUCAUAAAGUAUGUCGUAGUCCGGAUUGGAGUCUGCAACUCGACUCCAUGAAGUCGGAAUCGCUAGUAAUCGUAGAUCAGAAUGCUACGGUGAAUACGUUCCCGGGCCUUGUACACACCGCCCGUCACACCAUGGGAGUGGGUUGCAAAAGAAGUAGGUAGCUUAACCUUCGGGAGGGCGCUUACCACUUUGUGAUUCAUGACUGGGGUGAAGUCGUAACAAGGUAACCGUAGGGGAACCUGCGGUUGGAUCACCUCCUU